AGUAACCUUUUGGACUGAGUAUGGAGUUGGACCUGGAUGUGCUACACCACCAUGAAGGAAUGCUGUUGAGAGAAAGAUGAUCUCCCAAAAGGAAAAGUGAUAUUGGUUAAUGGAAUGUCUGACCAGUUACAGGCCUCCUUCUGCACCUGUUGAGAGAGACAGAGAGACCUGAAAUGUCCUAUGGGUCCACUCUUCAAAUGACUUGAACAGCUCAGCAGCCUCUCCAGCACUGAAGCUAGGAUCAAUAUUGCCAUUCUAGAGGACAGCAAGGUCAGUCUCCCUCCUCCCAAUUCCCUCCCCUUUAUCCACAUUUCAGGUCACUUGAUUAUUUCUAUCAGGAUACUGAUGUUCAGAAGUCUGUAUCCAAUUCACUGAUUUUCUA